ACGAACGCUGGCGGCGUGCUUAACACAUGCAAGUCGAACGGAAAGGCCCUGCUUUUGUGGGGUGCUCGCGUGGCGAACGGGUGAGUAACACAUGAGUAACCUGCCCUUGACUUUGGGAUAACUUCAGGAAACUGGGGCUAAUACCGGAUAGGAGCUCCUGCUGCAUGGUGGGGGUUGGAAAGUUUCGGCGGUUGGGGAUGGACUCGCGGCUUAUCAGCUUGUUGGUGGGGUAGUGGCUUACCAAGGCUUUGACGGGUAGCCGGCCUGAGAGGGUGACCGGCCACAUUGGGACUGAGAUACGGCCCAGACUCCUACGGGAGGCAGCAGUGGGGAAUAUUGCACAAUGGGCGGAAGCCUGAUGCAGCAACGCCGCGUGCGGGAUGACGGCCUUCGGGUUGUAAACCGCUUUCGCCUGUGACGAAGCGUGAGUGACGGUAAUGGGUAAAGAAGCACCGGCUAACUACGUG
rnacentral:rRNA from 1 species